UACAGAGGUCUCAAGCGUUGUUCGGAUUCAUUGGGCGUAAAGGGUGCGCAGGCCGCGCGGGCAGUCAAAUGUGUAAUCCAGGGGCUCAACCCCUGAACUGCGCUUGAUACUUCCGCGCUCGAGCUUUGGAGAGGAGUCUGGAAUUCUCGGUGUAGCAGUGAAAUGCGUGGAUAUCGAGAAGAACACUUAGGGCGUAGGCAAGACUCUGGACAAAUGCUGACGCUCAUGCACGAAGGCUAGGGUAGCGAACGGG
rnacentral:rRNA from 1 species